rnacentral:rRNA from 1 species
GAUGAACGCUGGCGGCGUGCCUAAUACAUGCAAGUCGAGCGAACAGAUGAGGAGCUUGCUCCUCUGACGUUAGCGGCGGACGGGUGAGUAACACGUGGAUAACCUACCUAUAAGACUGGGAUAACUUCGGGAAACCGGAGCUAAUACCGGAUAAUAUAUUGAACCGCAUGGUUCAAUAGUGAAAGACGGUUUUGCUGUCACUUAUAGAUGGAUCCGCGCCGCAUUAGCUAGUUGGUAAGGUAACGGCUUACCAAGGCAACGAUGCGUAGCCGACCUGAGAGGGUGAUCGGCCACACUGGAACUGAGACACGGUCCAGACUCCUAUGGGAGGCAGCAGUAGGGAAUCUUCCGCAAUGGGCGAAAGCCUGACGGAGCAACGCCGCGUGAGUGAUGAAGGUCUUCGGAUCGUAAAACUCUGUUAUUAGGGAAGAACAAAUGUGUGAGUAACUAUGCACGUCUUGACGGUACCUAAUCAGAAAGCCACGGCUAACUACGUG